GGAAGUAAAAGUCGUAACAAAGUUUCCGUAGGUGAACUUGCGGAAGGAUCAUUAAUGAGUUGUCAUGGGGUUCGAUGCUGACAGCCAAUUUUUGGAUGCAUGUGCUUGCCCUAACAAUCAUCUUCCAAACACCUGUGCACAUUUUUGAGGGAGUCUUGAGUUGGUUGCCGCUCUUGGGUGAUUUUCUCACAUUCCCUUAAAUCAUUAUACGCUAUUAACAAUGUUGAACGUGCUCUGUGCCGCAAGGCUAUUAAUAUAAUACAACUUUUAACAACGGAUCUCUUGGCUCUC
rnacentral:misc_RNA from 1 species